rnacentral:rRNA from 1 species
CCACGGGUUGCUGCAGUGGGGAAUAUUGCACAAUGGGCGCAAGCCUGAUGCAGCCAUGCCGCGUGUAUGAAGAAGGCCUUCGGGUUGUAAAGUACUUUCAGCGGGGAGGAAGGGAGUAAAGUUAAUACCUUUGCUCAUUGACGUUACCCGCAGAAGAAGCACCGGCUAACUCCGUGCCAGCAGCCGCGGUAAUACGGAGGGUGCAAGCGUUAAUCGGAAUUACUGGGCGUAAAGCGCACGCAGGCGGUUUGUUAAGUCAGAUGUGAAAUCCCCGGGCUCAACCUGGGAACUGCAUCUGAUACUGGCAAGCUUGAGUCUCGUAGAGGGGGGUAGAAUUCCAGGUGUAGCGGUGAAAUGCGUAGAGAUCUGGAGGAAUACCGGUGGCGAAGGCGGCCCCCUAGACGAAGACUGACGCUCAGGUGCGAAAGCGUGGGGAGCAAACAGGAUUAGAUACCCCAGUAGUC